rnacentral:lncRNA from 1 species
UAAUCUAUACUCUUUGCUCUCUAUUUUUCUUUUUUUCUACUAUCUAUUCUCAGGCUUUGGCUAACAUAAGCAUCGAAAGAUCUUCUACUGAUUUUAGGACUUCUUUUAUAAGAUCGUUAGCAGACUUCACCCACUUGAUCACUUAUAGAAUCCCAACUCGAUUCUUAACCAACCUCGCUUUCUUUCCUCCAGAGCCUCACAUCAACACUGAUCUCAGCUCUCUAAAAGAAUCAUUCACAGAGUAAGAAAUCAAAGGAGCAAUCUUCGACUUACCA